GCUCUAAACCCUUUGUGAACAUACCUAUAACUGUUGCUUCGGCGGGUAGGGUCUCCGCGACCCUCCCGGCCUCCCGCCUCCGGGCGGGUCGGCGCCCGCCGGAGGAUAACCAAACUCUGAUUUAACGACGUUUCUUCUGAGUGGUACAAGCAAAUAAUCAAAACUUUUAACAACGGAUCUCUUGGUUCUGGCAUCGAUGAAGAACGCAGCGAAAUGCGAUAAGUAAUGUGAAUUGCAGAAUUCAGUGAAUCAUCGAAUCUUUGAACGCACAUUGCGCCCGCCAGCAUUCUGGCGGGCAUGCCUGUUCGAGCGUCAUUUCAACCCUCAAGCUCUGCUUGGUGUUGGGGCCCUACAGCUGAUGUAGGCCCUCAAAGGUAGUGGCGGACCCUCUCGGAGCCUCCUUUGCGUAGUAACUUUACGUCUCGCACUGGGAUCCGGAGGGACUCUUGCCGUAAAACCCCCAAUUUUCCAAAGGUUGACCUCGGAUCAGGUAGGAAUACCCGCUGAACUUAAGCAUAUCAAUAAGCGGAGGAA
rnacentral:rRNA from 1 species